UUUGUUUUCGCUGCUUCUCUUGGUUCAUGCUCAUGAGCUGGUUUUGGUUCCCGAGCUUUGGAAAGGUGAAGCAAAAGGCUCAAUGGUUCCUCUCGCUAUCCGGGGCAUUAUUUCUUUUGAUGCCAUUGGACAUCGAGGAACUACAUUU